AAGGAAGGAAGUGGAAUUGUGGGCAGUUCAGAGAUGGUUGAGGAGAACCUUGCAGUGCUCAGCAAUUCCCGAGCAACCUGCUGUAAAUGAGAAAUGUCUCCAGUGCCCAUGAGGAGCAGCUGCCUGGUGAUUCGGUUCCCUACAGCUUACACAUGUUCCUGUGAUGCACCACCAGUCCUGCAGCUGGCUUGUGUUGGCUUGACACUUGUUGGUGCUUCCUGGCCAUUGUCAUCCUCUGUCUUUACAGCAACGUAUGAUGCGUCAUUGAUGGGUGAAAUACAGAAAAGCCAGUUCAGCCUUUGGAAGGAGUCAGAAGAAUCUGUGGAGUUUGGCAAUGGAAAGAAAACUCAAACUCACCCCUAUGAACGGGUCUUUAAAAAGGAAUGGCUAAAUGAAGGAGGAAGUCCCGCAGUGAGCAAUGUUUUGCUUCAAAUAGCCUGGGACCAAGUAUGUGAAAAUAGCACUGCAGUGUUUGUGUAGCACAAUGCGUUGCUGCUGUUGCAGGCUGGGGCGGUGUCAUGGUUUUGUAAUUUUGUAAUUUUGCUAUCAGUAUUCCACAUCAUAAC